GGGCCGAGGCAGGUGGUGACGGCCCGUGCUGAAUAACCGCCGCUGGGGAGCCGAUGGGUUCGGUGGAAGCGUCUCUGGAGGUUUCUUCUCCUCCUGCAGCUACAGACAGAGAGAAACAUUCACCCUUAGAGAGGUAGGAUCUCUAUACAAGCUAAUAUGGGUGACUGUACCUGUGGUUGGGCAGGUGACGGUGCAUCAGAGUUUUGCGUGGGCUGCUGGCUCUGUUCCUGCCGCUGGGGGACAGCAGGGAUGGAUCCUGACCCCCCACCAGCUCCAUCUUGUGCUCCGGGGCCCUGAUGGGUUAGAGCUGCCUUCAGCCGCUACAAAGAGACACAGACGGCACUUCAUGGAUUACAACUGACUGAAUACUCUGACCAUGAAAGAAGGCAAAGAAAGCUUGCCUGGGAAGCUAUUAGAGACGGAUAUUAGAUAUGUAUCCUUGAUGUAUUUGCAGAAGAUUUUUUGCCUGUUAGAUAUAAAAAAGGUGUAAUACACAGCUGGAAUAUACAAACCAUGUCAUGAGAAGAACUAACAAAUUGUAUCGAGUAGAUUAUAUAUAAUCAUCUAUUUUAUACAUGAAAUAUGCGUUUCUGUUCAUUUAAAAAGAAAAUGGAUGACAUCUGUACAUUCUUGUCGCUUUAUGCCACACUGUAUUUUGAGUUAUAAGUGAGGGCUUGAACAAAACAAUGGACAGAUGGUGCAGCUGUGCCACACGUCAUAUUUAACUGACGUUGCUCUGAAACGACAGCUCCAAGACAAGAAUGUCUCAUUCUGUUAAAUGCCUGUUGUCUAGACUCCUUUCUCCUCGCGUCUCUUGCCUGCCUCCUGUGCUUACUUCUCUUGUAGGAGGGAUUAAAACGUGAGAAGGAAAGGAAUUGAGGAUGUACAAACUGAGAAAUCAGAAUAAGGGAGUGUUUUGUUUAUCCGUUCGGGGCUACUGCAGAAACACUGCAGGGGAACACGGUGACUGUAGAGGAAGACACGCAAUGCAGAUGUAAAGGGCUUAUUUUAACAAAACACAGUGAUUCUUUUCAGGUGAUUAUACACUAGUGAAAACAUAAUUAUAGCAUUAUAUUCUAUUUCUGCUAAAAGCUCUC